CAGUAGCCGCGGUAAUACGAAGGGGGCUAGCGUUGUUCGGAUUUACUGGGCGUAAAGGGCGCGUAGGCGGACUGAUAAGUCAGGGGUGAAAUCCCAAGGCUCAACCUUGGAACUGCCUUUGAUACUGAAGAUCUUGAGUUCGGGAGAGGUGAGUGGAACUGCGAGUGUAGAGGUGAAAUUCGUAGAUAUUCGCAAGAACACCAGUGGCGAAGGCGGCUCACUGGCCCGAUACUGACGCUGAGGCGCGAAAGCGUGGGGAGCAAACAGGAUUAGAUACCCCAGUAGUCCCUGUCUCUUAUAC
rnacentral:rRNA from 1 species